rnacentral:rRNA from 1 species
CCUACGGGAGGCAGCAGUGAGGAAUAUUGGUCAAUGGACGCAAGUCUGAACCAGCCAUGCCGCGUGCAGGAAGACGGCUCUAUGAGUUGUAAACUGCUUUUGUACGAGGGUAAACGCAGAUACGCGUAUCUGUCUGAAAGUAUCGUACGAAUAAGGAUCGGCUAACUCCGUGCCAGCAGCCGCGGUAAUACGGAGGAUUCAAGCGUUAUCCGGAUUUAUUGGGUUUAAAGGGUGCGUAGGCGGUCGGAUAAGUUAGAGGUGAAAUCCCGAGGCUCAACUUCGGAAUUGCCUCUGAUACUGUUCGGCGAGAGAGUAGUUGCGGUAGGCGGAAGGUAUGGUGUAGCGGUGAAAUGCUUAGAGAUCAUACAGAACACCGAUUGCGAAGGCAGCUUACCAAUCUAUAUCUGACGUUGAGGCACGAAAGCGUGGGGAGCAAACAGGAUUAGAUACCCCUGUAGUC